CCAGACUCCUACGGGAGGCAGCAGUGAGGAAUAUUGGUCAAUGGCCGGAAGGCUGAACCAGCCAAGUCGCGUGAGGGACGACUGCCCUAUGGGUUGUAAACCUCUUUUAUAAGGGAAGAAUAAAUGCUACGUGUAGCAUGAUGCCUGUACCUUAUGAAUAAGCAUCGGCUAACUCCGUGCCAGCAGCCGCGGUAAUACGGAGGAUGCGAGCGUUAUCCGGAUUUAUUGGGUUUAAAGGGUGCGUAGGCGGAAGGUUAAGUCAGCGGUCAAAUGUCGGUGCUCAACACCGGCCUGCCGUUGAAACUGGUCUUCUUGAGUGAGCGAGAAGUAUGCGGAAUGCGUGGUGUAGCGGUGAAAUGCAUAGAUAUCACGCAGAACUCCGAUUGCGAAGGCAGCGUACCGGCGCCCAACUGACGCUCAUGCACGAAAGCGUGGGUAUCGAACAGGAUUAGAUACCCUUGUA
rnacentral:rRNA from 1 species